CCCCCGGCAUCGUGCGGAUGUGCGACGGAGUCCACGGUGACCGGGUACCACCUGACGACCUCCAUCGCACCGCCUGACGCACAGGUCACGCGGCUCAACCUCGGGAGAGAACGCUGAGCGUUACAAC
ncrna:Corynebacterium terpenotabidum Y-11 atpB RNA